GUUGGACCCACACUGGAGCGCGUAGAGCGCAGCUGAAAUGCGGACGCCAGGUUGCCGCAUGUAGCCUAACCGGCUCGAAGCAUUGCAUGGUGAAGCAAGGGUCAACCGUAGACUUCCAAGCUCGGUCCAGUGCUUCCCAAUUGCAACUGAAGGUAAUUUCUAAUUAACCGUCACUCUGUGCCUGUGGCUUUCAUGCCACACCUUGCUCAUUGAUAAUGGCAUUUCCCUGGCAUUAACCCAGUCUGUCUUGUGCUUUCUAGGUUGAGCACAUUAUUGUCAAUUGGCUGGGGUGGGGGGACGCUGCCGUCUUUUCCCGGUGUUUGUGUUUGUUAUUUUGCCUUUUACCACCACGAGCUCUUUUAGUAGUGGCAGGUUGUUGUUCCUUUGCGCAGGUGCGCGACGCUUUCGUCUUUCAGCCAUACGGUCUGACACGGUCAGCUCCAGUCACCCACCCCUUAGACAAGGGAUGAGUGAUUGGGGACUGGCCGGUUGAGAUUUGUAGCAGUAUCGUGUAAACUUAUUGGUGAGGUGUAGAUCCCCUGAGUUGUAGGCCUAUAGUAAACUCUCUGCCAAGAGGCCUGAUUUGAUAAACAUAGGCUACCUCUUCACUGUGAAUCAUUUCAGUGUGCUGUGACUUAUUUUGUUUAUUUUGAUUAUGUUUUGUGUGUACAGUUUUGAUUGAUUGCAGUGUUAUUUUGCAUUCGCAGUGCAGUGUGUAGUUAACACACUCAGUAAAUUACCUGUACUAGGCCUACUCAGUGCUCUCGCACUUAAGCCGUCACCGUUUCACGAUAUGUACCUGUAUUGACUUCAGUAGAGUUAAGACUCUGUUUGUGUAUAUGGACUCAAGUGAACUGCCUGCUCAUUUUGAAAACGAAUAAGACUGAAAGCAGAAGAAAAUAAAAACUAUUGUAUGUGCAA